rnacentral:lncRNA from 1 species
UAAACUUGGUCAAACUUAAGUUUGCCUUACAAUAAACCAAGAACUUCAAAUAUUUUGAAACAGAGGAAAUAUAAAAUAAGUUAAAAGUUCAGGAAUAUGUUGCAGAAAGGUAUAUUUGAACAAGGACAAACAAAACUGUUUUUGUUCACCCUACACAUGUACACUUAGCCCAGGGUACAAAGAUCUAAGGAUCAGAAGAGCUGUCAGUCAAGAAGUUCACCGCCAAGUUUACUUCAAGAUGGCAAUUACACUAGCAACACAAACAUCUAUCCCUCUGUUACUUACGACGGGAAAGGCGAGCAUGAAUCAAAACACACAUACAAACUACCAUUAUUGAACCGAGCAUUCUCGCAAAAAAAGUUGCGCCGGCCGGCUCAAUCUCAACGCUGCAUUAGAAAAUUGCAGCUGUCAUGCUUAUCAACACCAUCUCAUCCUAACUCAGCUCCAUCUCGUCUUGCGAAUGACAGUGACCCAACCCCCAGAUGGAAUAUUGAUUCAGAUCUAAUAAAGAAUAAAGAAAUUCAGAAGCACGGCAGAAGCGGGUAAUUUACAUGGUCCACUCAAACAUCUGCAAAAUUGACAAAAUCUGUUAAGGACCCCGAAGUAGAGAAAGAGAGAACGGGGUGCAGAGCAGGCGAGUGAAGAUUGGGGAUACGAUGAAAUUCAACAGCACACACCUUUUCAUAGUUUGGAGCAGAGGAAUUCAGAUACGGAUUCUUCUGCAACAAAAAUGAUCUCGAUGGCACCAGUUCUCACUGAAAGCUUUGUACAUUGAAAUGUCAAACCAGGGUGAUCAUUGAACUCCUAGAUCAUUUGACAACUGCAAUAUUCCGCGCAUUUGAAGGUAUGGGUUUUCCAGAAGUUUUUCAUUGUUACACUGGAGUCAGCGCAAAUAAAUGUCAGUGCCAACUUAAUCUAGAGACCAUAUGCAUGUGUGGAACGAAAUUUAUUGUGAGAAAUAUACCGCCUGAAUGUGUUAGCAGGAACUAAUCUGAUAACAGGUACUCCCUCUGUCCCAUAAUAUAAGACGUUUUUUGACUAUUAUGGGACAGAGGGAGUACAUGCGAACAAUAAUCCUGUGAUAUUUCAAAUUUCAGCCCAACAAGAUGAGAUAGGAAAAGUGCAUCAACCUGUUGAGCUUUUGAAAUGAGACUUUGAAGCAUCCGUUGGUAGACAUCUGGUUCCUCUGUCAUCAUCCGCUGUACAACCAAAAACUUUAUUAGGGCCAAGUGCAACAAGAAUGUCAGUGAGCAGUCAACAACUGCUGACAAGCAUACCUUCAAGAGAAAGGCAGCAGAAUAAUACGCCACCCUUGAGUCUGUAUCAUCUAGAAGCCCCCUGUUGGUGUCGAGUGGAGAAGGGACAAACAUCAAGUAUUACAAACAUCAAGUAUAUACACCAACUUCAAACAAAGAUAUGCAGCUUACAAAAGAUUACCUGAAGAACUCAUUGCCUUCUACUUCCGAAAGUGCUUCUGGAUCAGCUGUGCAUUUACCAAUCAAAAGCAAAAGAAGCGCUGCUCUAAUAUCUGAUGUAGCACCAGGGAUAUUGCCUCUUCCUGUGCUACCAACAGCAAUACCCAAUGCAAUAUCAUCACUGGCAGCGCCUUCAAGUUGCAUCAAUGGCCCAUAAAAUAAUGAAGUUGGCACAAGGGCUACGAGCUGCAUCGGAGCUAUCGCAAGACCUUUUAGAAGUAGUGCUGCCAUUGAUGUUUCGCAGAGCAGAGCGGAUUGAGUAGAUUGAUUCAUCCCUGUAUCUUGCAAUGUCUCAUUCCUGGAAAGGCUCUUCGUUCCUAUGGUUUUGUGUGAUGCAAGGGUUUCCAAAGUGCACUCGAUGUUCUUAGUUGUGCAACCAAAAAGUUGACCAAGGGAUUGAAGGCCGCCCAGUUGCAUCACAUUUGUGGACGGAAGCCUCAAACAUAAUUGUGAAAACAACAUGUCACACAUCUAUAUGAGGAAACUUCGAAUUAGAGGAUCGAUCAUAUAACUUAAGAAUACUAAUGGUUGAUUUAGACCAGUAUUAAACAGGAGAUCUAAGAGGUAAACAACUAUGCAUAGAAAUUAAAUUGGCUACAGAUCAACUAACUAUUAGCAGUUAACUGGAUGUAGAGAGCACUAUAAUCUGCAUUUAGAAAUUACCUAUUACCUUUGAGAAAUUACAUUUUGUAAAUAGUUCAUUGUCGGUAUUAACUUUUAAGAAAGCAACUUUAAUAUUCGAAGAUAGUGCUAGCUUGCAGUGCAAAGGCGAACUGCCUGCAUUUUGGGUAAAAGAAAGUCACCUUUAAGAUGUUGAUAUGGUCUGUCUCAUUAUUUUGAACCACGAGUAGCAAAGCAGUACUCAUAACAUCUAUAACCGCAAAAGCUUUGUCCAGACGGUUUUUGCUAUGAUAAGCAACUGAAUGCUCCUGCAUGUCACUGUCAUCCAAUAAUAAUUUGCAGCGCAUCAGAAAUUUCUCUAAAACAUAUAGAAAUCCCCAUCUGAUGUAGUUGUGUUUUGAUUUCAGAAGCCCACACAGCAGACAAACGGGCAGCGAAACUUCUGGACACGAGGUGUCGUGGCUUCCAGCAUCUUUAAUUUCCUCCUGGAGGUUUUGGAUUUUAGACCAAACAGAGCCAUCUGUUUCUUCACUUAUUUCCGAGAGGAGCAAUUCAACUAACCAAAUAUAUCCAUGGUGCCUGUAUGAUGAAAUUUGUGAGUGAAGAAGUGAGUGCAAAGUAGCCCAGCAAAGCCUCGCCCUAGAUGCAACGUCACCAUCUUCAGAUCCAUCUUUAAUGCUGCUGAAACACUUGAAGGAUUUUGUUACUUGGAUCAUAUAAGCAAACUCAUUGUCAAUCCUUGAAAAUGUGCUCACAGUUCCAUCAAGUUUCCUGAUAACCUUGUCCAGAAGCUACAAAUAUUGAAAUUUUGAUCAUGACCAAUACAGUAAAUGGUAUUUCAAAAAUAAAAUUCCGAAUUAUGUACUCCCUCCGAUCCAAAUUAAUUGACGCACUUAAUUUGGAUGGAGGGAGCACUUCUUUAUAAGGGAGAAUCUUGACAUAUAUUCAUAUUGUUUUACCAUGAAACAAAGUCAGACAAAUAAACAUGAAUAAGACCAUGUUGCAGGACCUAACGGUUAAUUAAGACAAGAAUGUGGAUUCGUGGUCAUGACUACUGCCUAUUUAUGUGAACGUGUGCAAACCAUCACAUACCAUACACACUAGAGUUGAUUGUAGGGACUCUCAAUGUUGUGGAUACAACUUACUUUGCGCAACUUCGAACAUGACGUUUUACGUAUGUAGAGCAAUUUAACAAAGGCUCAACAGCUGUACUAAGUACUAACUACUAGCUUAGUCUCUAACACAGUCUACUCUCAUGUAAAAAACACCGUCGACUCUUUAGCAUUGUAAGAAAAGAUAGCAGUCCUUGUUGGGGAAGACUAGGGGAAAAAGACCUUACCGCGUUUAAUUGCUCGUAUUCUGCUGACUGUGAUAAUGCCGCAGAUAUAGCUUUUGUCAGCAUAUCCCCAACACCUUCAACACCAUGCUUCACAGAUAUAUAGAAGGCCUCCGGAGCAUCAGCGGAUGCAAGAAGGGAAGCGAGGGGUUGAGCAUCAUCGUAAGUAUAUGUUGAAAGACCAGCAGCCAAGCAUGUUUCGUUUAUUUGAUGCACUACAUAGUCAAAAAGAACAAAAAACAAAUCCCGCUUCUCUUCCUUUGAGUUGGCUCGUGAAUACUGUAAAUGAAAAGGUAACUUAGAUUAAGACGAAGAAAAAUUACAAUCAUGAAUAGUAGAAACGGAUACUGAAAUGGAUUAGCAUUGCAUGAUAAUAAUUCUGAUUUUAAGGACCAUCAGUUAUCUCAUGGAAUUUGUUGGUUUGAGAUAGUAUAGUAGUGACCAUUGGCGCAGAUUUUAUGGAUCUAUGAUUGACCGAACUUUUCUCUCAAGUAAAUAAUACAGCACAUCACCAGUUUUUCUGGGAUACCCAUCUUGCCAACCACACGUGGGACACUAGGUGCAGUAAAAAUUGUUUUAAGCAUAAGAAGUCCUAUUUAUGUUCAGAUAUAUUCCUGGGGUUCAGUGCGAACCUACGAGGAAAGAAAAUUCCGCAUAUGAUUGCAGUUGCCAUUCGCCACUCAGUACCAACUAGCCGAUCCCCUUCAUUCCAGACGAUAUUGACCAGUAUUUUGAGACAAAAUGAAUUGGAGACUUUGAUAUCCAAAGUUAUUGAAUGGAAUGGGAUAUUCCAGCUAGUACCAGAAUGCAAUAGCUAAGAUUAACUGCAGAUGGAAAGAACCAACAUAACUACAUGGCAGUGAAGCGCUGGUGGGUUUACUUGCCUACGGAGCAGGUGUGGAUUAUCUUCUGGCCUAUUAUUGUUUGUUUGUAAUUUGUGCAGUACUGAGAUAAUAACAUAAUAAUAUAUUGCAGUCAAAUAGACAUACAGCUCAGUUGUAAACAGACAUGAAACAGCAUAGUAUUAUCUAAACAUAAGAGUAACACUAACCUCAAGACAGAUAUAGUCAACUCCACCAAGAAGAUCUAUCCGUUCGGGAACAAAAUGUGUAUCAAGUGCACCACUCUGAGUCCCAUCUGGUACUUGGUACAGCAUAUUUGUCAGCAUGCAAAUGAGCUUGCUGUGCACUACUUUUGCCCAUGAAUGUUCCACACUAAUCUCAAGAAGAGUCUUAACAACCUGUUCAGGAUUUAAAAAAUGCACAUGUGGUUCUCAAACCCUUCUUUGACAGCAAGAAAUAGCACAAUUUACAGAAAUUGCUGUAAACUACUGCCUCCGUUUCAAAAUAUAAGACGUUUUGGCAGUUUGAAUUGAACUGCCAAAACGUCUUAUAUUUAGGAACAGAGGGUGUAGUAAACAGACACAUUUUUAGAAACCUAUGCCAGAUGAAGGUCAAACAGGCUCAUACGCCAAAUAUAUGAGAAAAAUUGCAUGACCACAUAUAUAAAAGAAGAUGUCCAAGUGCAUUUCACAGCCUGCUAUCAAAGAAAAAUCUUGUGCUGGAAUAGCAUUCUACACCCAACCCAUACAUUCGGAAGACAUCAACACCAGUAAUAAUAUACACAAACCUGUAGAUUCAAUUAUUUUCAGUACCGCUGCUAUUGGUUAUUUUUAUUUUCCAUCUUUCAUUUGUGAGUAUAAAAUAACAAUAAAAAUAUGCACAUCUUGCCGUGUACGCAGAAAUCCAUACUACAUGCUCAACUGAAAUAUGUUUAGCAUUAACGAGACAUAAAGGUUUAUAGUUUCAACUACAACUCCAAUUUUCUAUAUAUAAAUGGCUAGCCCUCAAUUACCUAUUUCUCUCAGCAUGCAAGCAUGCCACCUCAAAAUGCACCAUGCAUUGUAAAGACCCGCCACAAGAUGCAAUCAUGCAUAGAAAAAAGCCCACCUCAACAUGCAAAUAUGCAUGCGAAUGUUCAUUCUAUUAUGCUAUUUAUAUUUUACAAAUAUACAACAAUCAAACACAAUAAGUCAUAUGUAUUUACAGUUUUAGUUCUCAUAUUAUUACUCCAAAUAUUCAUGUUCCGUAUAAUCAAAUACCACUGAUGCAAAACAUUGCCGCAACAAAGUGCCGGGUAUCAUCUAGAAGAAGUAUCGAACACUGUUAGUCCAAAGGCACGCGAAUAACAAGACUGACAAAAUGUUACAAAUAGGGUCCAAGCACACGACUCAAAGAAUGAAUACAUGAAAAAACCUGUGCUUCCUUACCCUUAUGUCCAAACCUCCAAGUCUGCUCCUGAUGAUUUUCCCUCCAUCACAAACAAAGUAAAUUAGACAACUUAAAGCUGAUGCCCACACGAUCUCCUGGCGCUCCUCCAUCUACAAAACCAGAAGUAACAAAUAAAGGUAUUGUAUGUACCAGCCUAGCAUAAAAUGGAGCAAUCUACAUGUUAUGGUGUAAACAUGCUUGCACGUGCACAUAGAUGAAUAUAGUACACAUUCCUUGUGCUUAAGAGGAGGGGUCAAUAUGACUACCAAAAUGCAUACAAGGUCAAUAUUCUAAAAGUAACAAUCACCUGAACCAAGAGAAGGAGAACUUCAAAUAGUAUUUUGAGAAGCCAUGACUCAAACUGAUCAAUAGCAGGACUAAUCCUUUGCUCUUCUUCAGGUUCCGCUUCCCUCUGUUCAUCCAUAUUGGGUCCGUACUCAUUGUUCAGAUAAGAGUUGCUUGUAGUAUCACCUUUUUCAAUAAGUGGUGCAUCUUCAACUAUCAUAGGCUCCAGCAGGUGUGCAUGAAUCCCAAGGUUCAGAAUCAGAUCGAAAGCCUUUGUUCUGGCAGGUGAUUUCUGAGAGCUUAACAUGCCCUGAAACAUUAAAAAAUGUUAGAAAUAUUUCACAUGAUCUGUUUUGGGAUACAGCUGUGCAGAGUAUAACACCUCAAGCAUAUAAAGUGUCAGAGGAGCAGCAGCCUCAGAGUCCAUCAUAUACCUGAACCAAAGAAGAGAAACAAAUAUUAUCAAAACCCUUAAUAAGUGUACUUCUAUGGUUGCAAAGGUUGCUUUAACACCAAGCCUAAAUAAGUGCAGUUCUAUGACAUUUUGAGAUAAAUAUUUGCUCACAUCUUGCAACGGUUGUUUUUUGAUGCAUGCAUUCAUUACUCAAACUACUAAUUUGAUAACAGAAAUAUGGCAAACAUGGAAAUCUUUAGUAUGCGUGCAGCAUGCAUCAGCCUAGAAGUACAUUUCAUAGAAGCAAAGCAUACAGCCUGCUGACAACCCAAGUAAAACAGAGACAUGCUUAU